AUUGAACGCUGGCGGCAGGCCUAACACAUGCAAGUCGAGCGAGCGGCGGACGGGUGAGUAAUGUAUGGGGAUCUGCCCGAUAGAGGGGGAUAACUACUGGAAACGGUGGCUAAUACCGCAUACUGUCGGAUGUGCCCAUAUGGGAUUAGCUAGUAGGUGGGGUAAUGGCUUACCUCGGCGACGAUCCCUAGCUGGUCUGAGAGGAUGACCAGCCACACUGGGACUGAGACACGGCCCAGACUCCUACGGGAGGCAGCAGUGGGGAAUAUUGCACAAUGGGCGCAAGCCUGAUGCAGCCAUGCCGCGUGUAUGAAGAAGGCCUUAGGGUUGUAAAGUACUUUCAGCGGGGAGGCGUUACCCGCAGAAGAAGCACCGGCUAACUCCGUGCCAGCAGCCGCGGUAAUAC
rnacentral:rRNA from 1 species